UCCCCGUUAUCCUGGGCAGUCCUUCCAGAGUUCCCACCCUAAGUGUUGGCAACUAAUGAUAAGGGUUGCGCUCGUUGCUGGACUUAACCAAACACCUCACGGCACGAGCUGACGACAGCCAUGCAGCACCUGUGCAGAUGCCCCGAAGGGACUCUUCAUCUCUGAAGUUGUCAUCUGCAUGUCAAGCCUGGGUAAGGUUCUUCGCGUUGCAUCGAAUUAAACCACACGCUCCGCUGCUUGUGCGGGCCCCCGUCAAUUCCUUUGAGUUUCAGCCUUGCGGCCGUACUCCCCAGGCGGGGUACUUAUUGCGUUAGCGACGGCACCGAAGGGGUCGCUCCCCCCGGCGCCUAGUACCCAUCGUUUACGGCGUGGACUAC
rnacentral:misc_RNA from 1 species